GACGAACGCUGGCGGCGUGCCUAAUACAUGCAAGUAGAACGCUGAAGGAGGAGCUUGCUUCUCUGGAUGAGUUGCGAACGGGUGAGUAACGCGUAGGUAACCUGCCUGGUAGCGGGGGAUAACUAUUGGAAACGAUAGCUAAUACCGCAUAAUAGCAGUUGUUGCAUGACAACUGUUUGAAAGGUGCAAAUGCAUCACUACCAGAUGGACCUGCGUUGUAUUAGCUAGUUGGUGGGGUAAAGGCUCACCAAGGCGACGAUACAUAGCCGACCUGAGAAGGUGAUCGGCCACACUGGGACUGAGACACGGCCCAGACUCCUACGGGAGGCAGCAGUAGGGAAUCUUCGGCAAUGGACGGAAGUCUGACCGAGCAACGCCGCGUGAGUGAAGAAGGUUUUCGGAUCGUAAAGCUCUGUUGUAAGAGAAGAACGAGUGUGAGAGUGGAAAGUUCACACUGUGACGGUAUCUUACCAGAAAGGGACGGCUAACUACGUG
rnacentral:rRNA from 1 species